rfam:Salmo salar isolate Sally breed double haploid chromosome ssa09, whole genome shotgun sequence.
UCCCGUGUGGCUCAGUUGGUAGAGCAUGGUUUUUGCAACGCCAGGGUUGUGCGUUUGAUUCCCACGGGGG